rnacentral:lncRNA from 1 species
GGUGAAACAUGUUCACUGCCACUGGGAGACCCGAUGAGACAAGGACCGUGAACUGGCCACUAAUCUAGUCAAGACGUGGAUCCGAGAACAGCGCAAGGAAGUUAAGAGUGUUUGCAGGGGAUUUCGCGUGCUGGAUUAUGAAAUCUCAGCUGGCUGAGAAGUGAAGACCUGAAGGGAGAUAAAUCCUGAAGAAACCGCAGAGCGAUGGCCUGGAAGUCUCUGAGAGAGGAAGAGUUAUUACGUGCUGAGAAGAGCUAAGUUAUCUACAUAACAAAGCAAUGCAGUGGGACGAGGAAGAGGUCCAGAGCAGGGAAAAGUCAGGAGCGUGUUCAGACUGUAGCCCAUUCGAGGCUGUGGAGCAGCUACAGGGCAGAGAAAACUGGGCUUGGAGGAAGGAGCCUCUGAGAGGGGCCGAUCCUGGCCCUGAGCUAACAUCUGUGCCCACCUUCCUCUACUUUAUAUGUGGGACGCCUACCACAGCAUGGCAUGCCAAGUGGUGCCAUGUCGGCACCCAGGAUCCAAACCGGUGAACCCCAGGCCGCAGAGAAGCGGAACGUGCGAACUUAACCGCUGAGCCACCGGGCUGGCCCCUGAAGUCUUUUUAAUGUUCUUCCAGAAAGUUUAAGCUAAUGCGAAGUGGGUUUCUUUCAUGGAAAACCAAAGGAGUCCUGACCUACUCGGGCCUUCAAAGACAAAGGAGGGUGGCCAAGUGGGGAGCAGCGAGGGAAGUGUUCUGCCUGGAGAGGCUGGCCAGGCGGCAAUGGAGAUGUGGGACCCGGAACAGGGAGGAGCACAUGCUCGAGUGGGAGCACCACCGGACAAAGUAUUUUCUGGGCAAGUAGCAGGGCCGUAUUGUCUGGAAGACCCACAGAGAAGAGGACUCUUAGAGCAGCUGCUGCGUUGGCAGCCCCGUCUGUGAGAGGAAACGCCCCCUCCUUCCUCUUUUUCUUCCUCCUCCCCUUCCUGCCAGGGCUGGUGCAGAGAUGAACCCACAGGAGUAGUCUGGGGGGCAGAGAACACAUUUUCCUUUUUAAACGAGAAGGGUUUGUUUCGCUCUGUGCUCCCACGGCUCUGCCAGGGACCGAUUUCUCCACGGUGAGGAGCCGCAGGUCAGCCCUCAGAACCACGUUUGAGGAUGGCCAGCCACCUUCCAACAUGGCCACUCUGCCCGGGACUCCAGUUUAGGAGCUGAGACCUCUUACCAACAGCCAGCACCAAGCUGCCAGGCAAGUGAGGGCGCCAUCUUGGAAGUGGAUCCUCCAGCCCCAGUCAAGCCUUCAGAUGAUUGCAGCCUCAGCUAAUAUCUUGACUAAAACCUUGUAAGAGACCCUGAACCAGAGCUGUCAAGCCUGCAACCCAACAUGAUGUGAUGAAUGGCACUUCGGCAGCCAUCUUGGAUCAUGAGGCAUUCGGCUUCUGGCGAGCCCGCCCCCAGGGUGACUCACGCAUUUCCCUGCACCGCUGGGACAGCAGUGGGGGCCCAAUGAGGAGCCCCGUUGGGCCCUGCGGGGGCGCCCCUGAAGUGGCACGUGUCCUGGUCAUUCCUGGGGUGGAGCGUGGCUCUCUGGGGUGUAGCCCGAGCCGGCCCCACAGCCUCUCUGAACCUUCUUUGGAUGUCUCCCAGUCCACACGCCACAUUAGAGUCGUUUCGUCGGCCCACAGCUGGAGGAAAACAGCGAUUCUGGAGUGGGGAGAGCGAUCGCCACAAAGACCCGCUCAAAGAUCCGCAGUCUCCCGCUCCAGCCAAUCACUUCCUGGAAGACCACGUGGGAGAGGGAUCUCAGUCACUUAAUCAAAGCGACAGUAUCGAUCAGGGGCCCUAAACUGUUAGAGUGGCGGUGGGAGGCGGGUGGGUAGGAACACCAAACAAAGGAGGAACCCCAGAGAUAGUAUCCCACUUGCUGUUUACCCCAGGGCGGUGACUGACAUGUUGGGGCCAGGAAUCAACCUGUGGGUUGCCGCUUACUUGCCGUUAAGUCUUUGGGCUACUUUAAGAUUUAUGAACAUCUUCUGACUCCCUGGAAUUCUGGAACUUUAGAGCUAGAGAAACUUAGCACCCAUUGUUGUCGCUCCUCAUUUUAAGGGAGAGACCUAGAGGGUUAGGUGACUUGGUCGAGGGUUAGGCCAUGCUGUUCCUGCUCUUAGUUGAUGAGUCACACCUGGAACUCAAGGCCCCAACUCUCCUUCCACCUAUUGUAAAAAUGGCGUCUGCUCCCAGCCUACCUGCCAGGUGGAGGGAGGCGGGUGGGGGUGGGGAGGAGCUGGUGUGAGGGAAACAUCCAUCAAAUGAAUGGGGUCUCCCCUGAGUUAAGAACAUUAUGUAGAAACAAUUUUGUGUUUCAGUGGAAAACUGAAUCAUCUGUAUGUGUUAUCCAUUGCAUACCUUCCAGGGUUAUAAGAUUCAAGCCUAUUCAUUAUCUUUAAGCUAUUUUGCAACUCUGUAAGUUGUAGCUAAUUGACAGAUAUGUAAAUUCUGUCCUACCUGGUAGAUUUGACUUCUUCCCACCACCACUCCGUCGGCAGGAAAAAAAACACUUGUCUUCAUUUGCAAUUCAUCUCUAACAUUCCUUUACUCCAUGUAAAUUGGUGCUGUUUUGACUUUUCCUUUGAACCAGUUAUAACAUCUAUCUGCCUGGUUCUGUCAUAUCAUGUGAGCAAAAUAAAUUCUUUAACGCGUGUUCAUUUUUU